CUGGUUAGCUUUGUUGUAAAGCGCUCCACUGGAAAUGGAGAGAUGCCUGGUUUAAUACCAGGACCAG
rnacentral:tRNA from 1 species